GACUGCUAAGACUGGAUAGGAAAUAAAAAGGCAUAUCUUUUUUUUUUAAAGACCUUUUUCGAAAGGUAUGCUUAAAGAUGAGCUUGCGCCACAUUAGUUUGUUGGUGGGGUAAUGGCCUACCAAGACGAUGAUGUGUAGCUGGACUGAGAGGUCGAACAGCCACAUUGGGACUGAGACACGGCCCAAACUCCUACGGGAGGCAGCAGUAGGGAAUUUUCGGCAAUGGAGGAAACUCUGACCGAGCAACGCCGCGUGAACGAUGAAGUAUUUCGGUAUGUAAAGUUCUUUUAUUGAAGAAGAAAAAAUAGUGGAAAAACUAUCUUGACGUUAUUCAAUGAAUAAGCCCCGGCUAACUAUGUGCCAGCAGCCGCGGUAAGACAUAGGGGGCGAGCGUUAUCCGGAAUUAUUGGGCGUAAAGGGUGCGUAGGCGGUUAGGAAAGUCUAUAAUUUAAUUUCAGUGCUUAACGCUGUCUUGUUAUAGAAACUACCUUGACUAGAGUUAGAUAGAGGCAAGCGGAAUUCCAUGUGUAGCGGUAAAAUGUGUAAAUAUAUGGAGGAACACCAGAAGCGUAGGCGGCUUGCUGGGUCUUGACUGACGCUGAGGCACGAAAGCGUGGGUAGCAAACAGGAUUAGAUACCCUGGUAGUCCACGCCGUAAACGAUGAGUACUAAGUGUCGGGAUAAAACUCGGUACUGAAGUUAACACAUUAAGUACUCCGCCUGAGUAGUACGUACGCAAGUAUGAAACUUAAAGGAAUUGACGGGACUCCGCACAAGCGGUGGAUCAUGUUGUUUAAUUCGAAGAUACACGAAAAAUCUUACCAGGUCUUGACAUGCUCUGCAAAGCUAUAGAAAUAUAGUGGAGGUUAUCAGGGACACAGGUGGUGCAUGGUUGUCGUCAGUUCGUGUCGUGAGAUGUUAGGUUAAGUCCUAAAACGAGCGCAACCCUUGUCGUUAGUUACCAGCACGUAAUGGUGGGCACUUUAACGAGACUGCCAAUUAAACAUUGGAGGAAGGUGAGGAUUACGUCAAAUCAUCAUGCCCCUUAUGAUCUGGGCUACAAACGUGAUACAAUGGCUGUUACAAAGAGUAGCUGAAGCGCGAGUUUUUAGCCAAUCUCAAAAAAGCAGUCUCAGUUCGGAUUGAAGUCUGUAACUCGACUUCAUGAAGUNGGAAUCGCUAGUAAUCGCGAAUCAGCAUGUCGCGGUGAAUACGUUCGCGGGGUUUGUACACACCGCC
rnacentral:rRNA from 1 species